CACGUAGGGUGCGAGCGUUGUCCGGAAUUAUUGGGCGUAAAGAGCUCGUAGGCGGUGUGUCGCGUCGGCCGUGAAAACCUGCAGCUUAACUGUGGGCUUGCGGUCGAUACGGGCAUCACUGGAGUUCGGCAGGGGAGACUGGAAUUCCUGGUGUAGCGGUGAAAUGCGCAGAUAUUAGGAGGAACGACCGGUGGCGAAGGCGGGUCUCUGGGCCGAUACUGACGCUGAGGAGCGAAAGCAUGGGUAGCGAACAGG
rnacentral:rRNA from 1 species